rnacentral:rRNA from 1 species
AUUGAACGCUGGCGGAAUGCUUUACACAUGCAAGUCGAACGGCAGCACGGGGCAACCUGGUGGCGAGUGGCGAACGGGUGAGUAAUACAUCGGAACGUGCCCAAUCGUGGGGGAUAACGUAGCGAAAGUUACGCUAAUACCGCAUACGAUCUACGGAUGAAAGCGGGGGAUCGCAAGACCUCGCGCGAAUGGAGCGGCCGAUGUCAGAUUAGGUAGUUGGUGGGGUAAAGGCUCACCAAGCCGACGAUCUGUAGCUGGUCUGAGAGGACGACCAGCCACACUGGGACUGAGACACGGCCCAGACUCCUACGAGAGGCAGCAGUGGGGAAUUUUGGACAAUGGGCGCAAGCCUGAUCCAGCCAUUCCGCGUGCAGGAUGAAGGCCUUCGGUUGUAACGUAGCUUUUGUUACGGUAACGGAAACGGUUACCGUU